rnacentral:rRNA from 1 species
AUUGAACGCUGGCGGCAGGCCUAACACAUGCAAGUCGAGCGGAUGAAGGGAGCUUGCUCCUGGAUUCAGCGGCGGACGGGUGAGUAAUGCCUAGGAAUCUGCCUGGUCGUGGGGGAUAACGUCCGGAAACGGGCGCUAAUACCGCAUACGUCCUGAGGGAGAAAGUGGGGGAUCUUCGGACCUCACGCUAUCAGAUGAGCCUAGGUCGGAUUAGCUAGUUGGUGGGGUAAAGGCCUACCAAGGCGACGAUCCGUAACUGGUCUGAGAGGAUGAUCAGUCACACUGGAACUGAGACACGGUCCAGACUCCUACGGGGGGCAGCAGUGGGGAAUAUUGGACAAUGGGCGAAAGCCUGAUCCAGCCAUGCCGCGUGUGUGAAGAAGGUCUUCGGAUUGUAAAGCACUUUAAGUUGGGAGGAAGGGCAGUAAGUUAAUACCUUGCUGUUUUGACGUUACCAACAGAAUAAGCACCGGCUAACUUCGUG